rnacentral:rRNA from 1 species
GAUGAACGCUGGCGGCGUGCCUAACACAUGCAAGUCGAACGAAGCAAUCAGAAUGAAGUUUUCGGAUGGAUUUCGGAUUGACUGAGUGGCGGACGGGUGAGUAACGCGUGGAUAACCUGCCUCACACUGGGGAUAACAGUUAGAAAUGACUGCUAAUACCGCAUAAGCGCACAGUGCCGCAUGGUACGGUGUGAAAACUCCGGUGGUGUGAGAUGGAUCCGCGUCUGAUUAGCCAGUUGCGGGUAACGGCCACCAAGCGACGAUCAGUAGCCGACCUGAGAGGGUGACCGGCCACAUUGGGACUGAGACACGGCCCAAACUCCUACGGGAGGCAGCAGUGGGGAAUAUUGCACAAUGGGCGAAAGCCUGAUGCAAGCGACGCCGCGUGAGUGAAGAAGUAUUUUCGGUAUGUAAAGCUCUAUCAGCAGGGAGAAAAUGACGGUACCUGAACUAAGAAGCCCCGG